AUUUGAUGAUGGGGGCAGCUUACACAUAAUUUCUUGAAAUGCUCCCAAUAUUCAUAUAGGGACUCUCCGUUAUGCUGCCUUACACCACAAAUUUCUUUUCGAAUGUU